GAUGAACGCUGGCGGCGUGCCUAAUACAUGCAAGUCGAGCGAACAGACGAGGAGCUUGCUCCUUCGACGUUAGCGGCGGACGGGUGAGUAACACGUAGGUAACCUACCUAUAAGACUGGGAUAACUUCGGGAAACCGGAGCUAAUACCGGAUAAUAUUUCGAACCGCAUGGUUCGAUAGUGAAAGAUGGCUCUGCUAUCACUUAUAGAUGGACCUGCGCCGUAUUAGCUAGUUGGAAGGUAACGGCUUACCAAGGCAACGAUACGUAGCCGACCUGAGAGGGUGAUCGGCCACACUGGAACUGAGACACGGUCCAGACUCCUACGGGAGGCAGCAGUAGGGAAUCUUCCGCAAUGGGCGAAAGCCUGACGGAGCAACGCCGCGUGAGUGAUGAAGGUCUUCGGAUCGUAAAACUCUGUUAUUAGGGAAGAACAAACGUGUAAGUAACUGUGCACGUCUUGACGGUACCUAAUCAGAAAGCCACGGCUAACUACGUG
rnacentral:rRNA from 1 species